rnacentral:lncRNA from 1 species
UCCCCAUAUCCACCCCCUUUGCAGGGCCCUCCCUCUGUGACCCUGGCCUUGGCCACCAGGCUUGCUUUGGCCAAUGAGAUGUGAGCAUACAGGACGCCAGUCAAAGCAUGAAAACUGCUUGCAAUAGCGCUUGUGUGUGCACCUGGACCUAUGUUGUAAGAAUGUGCCCCGUUUGGCCAUUGGAAGGACUUGGGACACCUGGGGGAGAACAGAGUCACCCCAGCUGCCAGCCAGCUCAGCCAGGACAGAUGCCAAGUUUACAAAACAUACAAGUGCACAGACAGGUGUGGGAGGUAGCUCGAAAUAUACAGAGUGUUCGCAACACUAGAGACGU